UACAGAGGUCCCAAGCGUUGUUCGGAUUCAUUGGGCGUAAAGGGCGCGUAGGCGGCCCGCUAAGUCGAACGUGAAAUCCCCAGGCUCAACCUGGGAACUGCGUCCGAUACUGGCAGGCUUGAAUCCGGGAGAGGGAUGUGGAAUUCCAGGUGUAGCGGUGAAAUGCGUAGAUAUCUGGAGGAACACCGGUGGCGAAGGCGGCAUCCUGGACCGGUAUUGACGCUGAGGCGCGAAAGCUAGGGGAGCAAACGGG
rnacentral:rRNA from 1 species